rnacentral:precursor_RNA from 1 species
ACCACAUUAACAGUUAAUCCAAGUACAUAUAAUAAGUUCAGUGUUUAUGAGAAUUAGUUUACUUGGAUCAACUGUUAUGUUUGAGG